AACGAACGCUGGCGGCAGGCCUAACACAUGCAAGUCGAGCGAAGCCUUCGGGCUUAGCGGCGGACGGGUGAGUAACGCGUGGGAACGUGCCCUUUGGUACGGAAUAGCCCCGGGAAACUGGGAGUAAUACCGUAUGUGGUCGAGAGACGAAAGAUUUAUCGCCAGGGGAUCGGCCCGCGUUGGAUUAGGUAGUUGGUGGGGUAAUGGCCUACCAAGCCGACGAUCCAUAGCUGGUUUGAGAGGAUGAUCAGCCACACUGGGACUGAGACACGGCCCAGACUCCCACGGGAGGCAGCAGUGGGGAAUCUUAGACAAUGGGGGAAACCCUGAUCUAGCCAUGCCGCGUGAUCGAUGAAGGCCUUAGGGUUGUAAAGAUCUUUCAGUGGGGAAGAUAAUGACUGUACCCACAGAAGAAGCCCCGGCUAACUCCGUGCCAGCAGCCGCCGCCGUAA
rnacentral:rRNA from 1 species